AGAAUUUGAUCUGGUCAGGAUGAACGCUGACAGAAUGCUUAACACAUGCAAGUCUACUUGAUCCUCGGGUGAAGGUGGCGGACGGGUGAGUAACGCGUAAAGAACUUGCCUUACAGACUGGGACAACAUUUGGAAACGAAUGCUAAUACUGGAUAUUAUGAUUGGGUCGCAUGAUCUGGUUAUGAAAGCUAUAUGCGCUGUGAGAGAGCUUUGCGUCCCAUUAGUUAGUUGGUGAGGUAACGGCUCACCAAGACGAUGAUGGGUAGCCGGCCUGAGAGGGUGAACGGCCACAAGGGGACUGAGACACGGCCCUUACUCCUACGGGAGGCAGCAGUGGGGAAUAUUGGACAAUGGACCAAAAGUCUGAUCCAGCAAAUUCUGUGUGCACGAUGAAGUUUUUCGGAAUGUAAAGUGCUUUCAGUUGGGAAGAAGUCAGUGACGGUACCAACAGAAGAAGCGACGGCUAAAUACGUGCCAGCAGCCGC
rnacentral:rRNA from 1 species